UUCACACCACCCUGUAAUCCUAUAACACUUGAAUCAUUUAUCCUUCCCUACAACACCUGAAGAUAUUUCUUUGGUUUUUGGUAAUUGGUCACCAACCUAAAUAAAAUUUGAUAAUUCUCUUUUUUUUUUAAAAUGAGAAGAAACACUGAACUGAUGAAAACGUCAAAAAAAUAAGAAUGGUAAAGUCAACCUUCUAAAACAACUAAUCAAAAUUAACUGCUAAUGUUUAAUAUAAUCAAAAGUUAUUAGAAAAAAAAAAAUUGGUAAAGCAUGAACUGACACGUUAGGCGCCAAAUUUAUUGCACUGUUUCUCGCACAAUGCCUAAAUGUGGGUUCCAGGGUUAUGAUUAUUAGCCUUUAUUAGGGCACGCAAAGAAAACGCAGCUUUAUAUCGUUAAGCCCAGCUUUAGUAUUGAAAGAUAAAUCAAUGUCAUAAUUGACAACUAAUUUAAUCUAUAACCUCAAUUCAAAAAAAAUAAAUACAAAGACAGUAAUGCUCUAAUACUUAAGUUAUAAUUAUGAAAUUUAAAAUUAUGAGAAAGAAAAUAAAGUAAAAUUUAGCACUUAAUACAUAUUCAAUUGUACAUCUGAUAAUACCUCGCAUAUACGUAUAUACUCAGUUCCCAAUUUCAAAUCAAAAUCAGUGAUGGUGGUCAUAUAAACAAUUUUGCUAAAUUGAAUUUAAAAUCUGUGAUCAUUUCUACAUAUUAAUUAAAAAAAAAAUAAUCUAUAAAUUGCGACGAACCGAUAAAUCAUUACCUGGAGAAACCAAGCCAAAAAGAAAAAGGGGCUACCUGAAAUUCUGAGUCUCUCCGACUGGUAGUAGGGCCCACCUGAUCUGAAUGGGGCUCCUUUGUUGGCAGCUAUACGUUUGGGUCAAAAGAGGCAGCAGCAGAUCGACCAGUUAGGAUGCUUCCAGAAUGUCUAGCAGGUAGUGAAAGGCAAUCGGUAUUAGGUGUAGCCGAUUGGAAGGAAUGCAGGUUCCGGAGGUGAUGAUCCAAGCGACUUGAUGUGGUAACACGUGGAGUAGCAAGUGAGGUGGAAGCAGUAACAAUAAAAAUGCAGCAAAAGUAGAAGCAGAGGAUAAGCAGAAGGUACAGGAAGGCCUAAAAAUGGGGACCACACAUGAGGUUCGACAUGGCUGUCAAUUUUAUGGCAUUUUUGUGUGGAUCGGGUAUGUUAGGAGGGACCAUCUUAACGGUAUAUCAUAUCUGUGUAGUAUGUAUAUUUAUGUAUGAUUUUUAAAUAAAUUAUUUUAUGAAACUA